rnacentral:pre_miRNA from 1 species
AAAGUACUCCCUCCGUCCCAAAAUUCUUGUCUUAUAUUUGUCUACAUACGGAUGUAUCAAGUCACAUUUUAGUAUUAGAUACAUCUAUAUCUAGACAAAUCUAAGACAAGAAAUUUGGGACAGAGGGAGUAGUUC